GAUGAACGCUAGCGGCAGGCUUAAUACAUGCAAGUCAAGGGGGUAGCAAUACAACCGGCGCACGGGUGAGUAACACGUACACAACAUACCAUAUACUGAGGUAUAGCUUCGGGAAACUGAAGGUAAUCCCUCAUAGUAUUGUGAAAGGGCAUCUUUUUACAAUUAAAGUUUCGACGGUAUAUGAUUGGUGUGCGUUUGAUUAGCUAGUUGGUAGGGUAACGGCCUACCAAGGCAACGAUCAAUAGCUGGCGUGAGAGCGCGACCAGCCACACUGGAACUGAGACACGGUCCAGACUCCUACGGGAGGCAGCAGUAGGGAAUAUUGGACAAUGGGCGAAAGCCUGAUCCAGCCAUGCCGCGUGAUAGAUGAAGGCCCUCUGGGUUGUAAAUAUCUUUUAUCUGGGAAGAAACACUUCAUUCUUAGAAGCUUGACGGUACCAGAGGAAUAAGCACCGGCUAACUCCGUGCCAGCAGCCGCGGUAAU
rnacentral:rRNA from 1 species